GGCUUUUUUCGCGGCGGAGCUCGACCGCCCCUCGCGCUGAUCUGCAAAUACAUCAACUCGCACAAGGAAGACUAUGGGGUCGAGCCGAUCUGCCGGGCACUACGCAGCGCCGGUGUGAAGAUCGCCCCG
rfam:Corynebacterium variabile DSM 44702, complete genome.